rnacentral:lncRNA from 1 species
GAUACUCAGUGAUACUUCAAAAUCCAAAGUAAAACACAAGUUUCAAGGUGAAGUUUCUUUAUUUCUUCUCUUUUACUUUUUCGUCAUACAAAUUUUCUUAUUAAUACUUAUUUCACAAAGAAUAUUUAUCAUACGUAAUAAACAUGUUUUGUGGACAUUGUUUCCUUGUCUAGAUUAACAGAAACAAUAAGAGCAAAGCAGUCGAAUCCUAGCUUGGAUCAGACUUAAUAAAUUCCAGUAAGUUUCUUGAUUAGCAUUAUUUAUGUGGUUUAUUUAUAGUCUUAUAUGCUUAGUAAUUGCUAUUAGAAUGGUUUUGUAUCAAGAUGGAGAACUCUUAAGCUGAAAAUAACUAAACUUAGGAAAGUGAUUCAAUUGUCUCGGAAAAAGGAAGGAUCAGGUAGAUAAACUAUCUUCAUCCCUUUUUCUAGAGUUUUUGUAAACAAAUUAUGGUCUUGUGUAUAUACUGCUAACAUAAUGGUUUUGUAGAAAGAUAUACAAUUCUUAAGCGGAAAAGAACCAAAUUUAAGAAAGCCA